rnacentral:tRNA from 1 species
GCGGAUGUAGCUCAAUGGCAGAGCGUCGGCUUCCCAAGCCGAACACGCGGGUUCGAUUCCCGUCAUCCGCUCCA